UACAGAGGGGGCAAGCGUUGUUCGGAAUUACUGGGCGUAAAGGGCGCGUAGGCGGCCUUCUAAGUCGAACGUGAAAUCCCUGGGCUCAACCCAGGAACUGCGUCCGAUACUGGGAGGCUUGAAUCCGGGAGAGGGAUGCGGAAUUCCAGGUGUAGCGGUGAAAUGCGUAGAUAUCUGGAGGAACACCGGUGGCGAAGGCGGCAUCCUGGACCGGUAUUGACGCUGAGGCGCGAAAGCCAGGGGAGCAAACAGG
rnacentral:rRNA from 1 species